rnacentral:rRNA from 1 species
UACGGAGGGUGCAAGCGUUAUCCGGAUUCACUGGGAUUAAAGGGUGCGUAGGAGGGCAGGUAAGUCAGUGGUGAAAUCUCCAAGCUUAACUUGGAAACUGCCGUUGAUACUAUCUGUCUUGAAUAUUGUGGAGGUGAGCGGAAUAUGUCAUGUAGCGGUGAAAUGCUUAGAUAUGACAUAGAACACCAAUUGCGAAGGCAGCUCACUACACAAUCAUUGACUCUGAGGCACGAAAGCGUGGGGAUCAAACAGG